CCGCUGCAAGAUGAAGAGAUGGUCGAGUACAUCCUCACCGGCCUGGAGGAAGAAUUCCUACCGAUGGUGUCUGCCCUUGUCACGAGGGUAGAUCCAAUCUCACUUGAAGACCUCUACUCUCAGUUGCUGAAUUUUGAGA
rfam:Zea mays cultivar B73 chromosome 4, whole genome shotgun sequence.